AAAACACUUUCAUAAUCAAGAUUUAACAUAAUCUUAUUAUUAUUUUUCCCACUAUCAUAAUUUAUCUCCAAAAAUUCAACCUUUUUGUUAUCUUCAUCUAAGUUAUUAAUAACUUGUGAAUCAUAAUCAAACUUGAGCUCAAAUGUCUCACCAACCAUAUCAAAUUCUGAAUAAUCAACUUGAUUAUUAGUACUAAUCAUAUUCACAAAUCCCACUUCUCCUUCAUCUUCAACCUUCACUAAUUUCUCAUCAUGUUUUUCCAAAAAACCUAAACCUUCCAUGUAAUUAAAUGACUCUUCAUCAUCAAGUCCUUUCCCUAAUAAACUUACCACAUCCGCG
rnacentral:misc_RNA from 1 species